UACGUAGGGUGCAAGCGUUAAUCGGAAUUACUGGGCGUAAAGCGUGCGCAGGCGGUUUUGUAAGUCAGAUGUGAAAUCCCCGGGCUUAACCUGGGAACUGCGUUUGAAACUACAAGGCUAGAGUGUGGCAGAGGGGGGGUGGAAUUCCACGUGUAGCAGUGAAAUGCGUAGAGAUGUGGAGGAACACCGAUGGCGAAGGCAGCCCCCUGGGUUAACACUGACGCU
rnacentral:rRNA from 1 species